rnacentral:sRNA from 1 species
GUCGCUAGGCGUUUCCCUUUUAUUUAAGCGUAACAUGAUAUAAUUCAAGAAGUUAACAUACCGUUAACAAUGAACUCUUCUUAAAUUAAAUAAAUAAGGGGCAUAAAAUGUCUAACUCAAUUACUGGUACUGUAAAAUGGUUUAACGAAACUAAAGGUUUCGGUUUCCUAACUCAAGAUAACGGCGGCGCAGACGUAUUCGUACACUUCCGCGCUAUCGCUUCUGAAGGUUUCAAAACUCUUAACGAAGGCCAAAAAGUGUCUUUCGAAGUAGAACAAGGUCAAAAAGGCCUUCAAGCUACUAACGUUGUUGCACUAUAAUUAGCGCUUCACGUAAGAAUAAAUAGAAGGUCGCCUAGGCGGCCUUUUUUG